CUUCCAUUUUCACCGACGAGGCAGAAAUCAGAUCUGUCAUUGAAGUCCGCAAUGGCUCCACAUUUCUUGAUCUAAUUGUUGCUCAGAUUCAGAAUCUUAAUACGAAAUAUGGAUGUAGCGUUCCAUUGGUGCUGAUGAACUCAUUCAAUACCCAUGAUGACACAAUGAAGAUUGUCGAAAAUUACUCCAAUUCAAACGUUAAAGUUCAUAUUUUUAAUCAGGUUUAGAAAUUGAAUUUCACCUUCUCAAGAUUCAAUUUAGACUCAACGACAUAAAACAGAGAUCCAUUUCUUGUAUUCUAUUUUCUCUGAUUUCUCCCCUCAUUUCUUGGAUAUUCAUAGAGCCAAU